CCGUGUGGUGUUGUUCUUGUUGUUGUGGAUUUAGUUGGAAGUUGGUGUUGUUGUUGUAGAUCUUGAAAGGUUAUUGUUGUGUUCUUGUUAUUCAUCACAACCUUCCUCUCUUGCUAAAAUCGAAACACAACACAAAGAGACUAGGCCGUUUGUGGGUGGUUUUGGCCAUAUGAAACAUUGUUGUAGUGGAGUUGGCCAUGUGGUAGUGUUGUGGAUCUUGGUGGUUGUUGUUGAUUU
rnacentral:lncRNA from 1 species